GGAUGUGAGGGCAAUCUGGCUGAGACAUCUGUCACCCCAUUGAUCGCCAGGGUUGAUUCGGCUGAUCUGUCUGGCUAGGCGGGUGUCCCCUUCCUCCCUCACCGCUCCAUGUGUGUCCCUCCUGAAGCUGCGCGCUCAGUCGAAGAGGACGACCACCCCUGAUAGAGGAGGACCGUUUCCUCGGUCAAGGGUAUAUGAGUAGCUGCGCUUCCCUGCUAGAACCUCCAAACAAGCUCUCAAGGAAUGAAAAAGGUAAAAUUACAAUGGACCCAGCAGAAAACUAGAGGAUUAUCAAUACCU
rnacentral:snRNA from 1 species